GUUGGUGUAGCUUAACUAAAGCAUAA
rnacentral:tRNA from 1 species